UACGGAGGGUGCAAGCGUUAUCCGGAUUCACUGGGUUUAAAGGGUGCGUAGGUGGGCAGGUAAGUCAGUGGUGAAAUCUCCGGGCUUAACCCGGAAACUGCCGUUGAUACUAUCUGUCUUGAAUGUAGUGGAGGUGAGCGGAAUAUGUCAUGUAGCGGUGAAAUGCUUAGAUAUGACAUAGAACACCAAUUGCGAAGGCAGCUUACUACACAACGAUUGACGCUGAGGCACGAAAGCGUGGGGAUCAAACAGG
rnacentral:rRNA from 1 species